CCUACGGGUGGCAGCAGUGGGGAAUAUUGCACAAUGGGGGAAACCCUGAUGCAGCGACGCCGCGUGAGUGAAGACGUAUUUCGGUAUGUAAAGCUCUGUCAGCCGGGAAGAAAAUGACGGUACCUGACCACGCAGCCCCGGAUAACUACGUACCAGCAGCCGCGGUAAUACGUAGGGGGCAAGCGUUAUCCGGAUUGACUGGGGGUAAAGGGGGCGUAGACGGGAGGGCAAGUCUGGAGUGAAAGGCGGGGGCUCAACCCCCGGACUGCGGUGGAAACUGCCGGGCUGGAGUGCAGGAGAGGUAAGUGGAAUGCGUGGUGUAGCGGUGAAAUGCGUAGAUAUUAGGAGGAACACCAGUGGCGAAGGCGGCUUACUGGACUGUAACUGACGUUGAGGCUCGAAAGCGUGGGGAGCAAACAGGAUUAGAUACCCGGGUAGUC
rnacentral:rRNA from 1 species